rnacentral:rRNA from 1 species
AUUGAACGCUGGCGGCAUGCCUUACACAUGCAAGUCGAACGGCAGCACGGGUGCUUGCACCUGGUGGCGAGUGGCGAACGGGUGAGUAAUACAUCGGAACAUGUCCUGUAGUGGGGGAUAGGCCGGCGAAAGCCGGAUUAAUACCGCAUACGAUCUACGGAGGAAAGCGGGGGACCUUCGGGCCUCGCGCUAUAGGGUUGGCCGAUGGCGGAUUAGCUAGUUGGUGGGGUAAAGGCCUACCAAGGCGACGAUCAGUAGCUGGUCUGAGAGGACGACCAGCCACACUGGGACUGAGACACGGCCCAGACUCCUACGGGAGGCAGCAGUGGGGAAUUUUGGACAAAGGGCGAAAGCCUGAUCCAGCAAUGCCGCGUGUGUGAAGAAGGCCUUCGGGUUGUAAAGCACUUUUGUCCGGAAAGAAAUCCUUGGCCCUAAUACGGUCGGGGGAUGACGGUACCGGAAGAAUAAGCACCGGCUAACUACGUG